UACGAAGGGUGCAAGCGUUAUUCGGAAUCACUGGGCUUACAGAGUUCGUAGGCGGUCUGGAAAGUUGGGUGUGAAAUCCCUCGGCUCAACCGAGGAACUGCGCUUGAAACUACCAGACUCGAGGGAGAUAGAGGAAAGCGGAACUGAUGGUGGAGCGGUGAAAUGCGUUGAUAUCAUCAGGAACACCGGUGGCGAAGGCGGCUUUCUGGGUCUUACCUGACGCUGAGGAACGAAAGCCGGGGGAGCGAACGGG
rnacentral:rRNA from 1 species